UACGAAGGGGGCAAGCGUUGUCCGGAAUCAUUGGGCGUAAAGCGCGUGUAGGCGGUUCGGUAAGUCUGCUGUGAAAGUCCAGGGCUCAACCCUGGGAUGCCGGUGGAUACUGUCGGACUAGAGUACGGAAGAGGCGAGUGGAAUUCCCGGUGUAGCGGUGAAAUGCGCAGAUAUCGGGAGGAACACCAAUUGCGAAGGCAGCUCGCUGGGACGUUACUGACGCUGAGACGCGAAAGCGUGGGGAGCAAACAGG
rnacentral:rRNA from 1 species